rnacentral:rRNA from 1 species
ACGGAGGGUGCAAGCGUUGUUCGGAAUUAUUGGGCGUAAAGGGCGCGUAGGUGGUUGUGAUAGUCAGAUGUGAAAUCCUUUGGCUUAACUGAAGAACUGCAUCUGAAACUUCACAACUCGAGUACAGGAGAGGGAAACGGAAUUCCCGGUGUAGAGGUGAAAUGCGUAGAUAUCAGGAGGAACACCAGUGGCGAAGGCGGUUUUCUGGCCUGAAACUGACACUGAGGCGCGAAAGCGUGGGGAGCAAAUAG